rnacentral:lncRNA from 1 species
ACAGUGAAGGAAAGAAGGAAAGAAAGAAAAGGGAAAAUUGUGGUUUUGAAGUUCCGUCAAAUUAGGGUGGGUUUGGAUGGGCGAUUGGGUGCGAUGCGGUGCAUUUAGCUUACUUUUUGUCUCACGCUACAGUAUCACUACAGUAUCUAAUCUCACCGCCACCGCUAUUUUUACACUAACCGCAGAUAAACGCACCGCCCAUCCAAACUCAAGGUUAGUCCAUAUUCUUGUAAUUUUGAUAUUUUUGAAAUCCUAAAAUAAAAUACUACUUGGUUUAAGUUGAAAUUUUGAAAGUUAGUAAAUUUUUAGAUGUUGUUCAUGUUGAAUUAAUUGAUGAAUUAGGGAUUAAAUUGAUUGAAUUUUAAGUUAGAAGUUAGUAAAGGGUUGAUUUGUAAAAUAAAACAUGAGUUGAUUAAACUAAAAUUUACAAGUGCAAAUGUGUUAAAUUAGCACCCUUUUUGUGUGAAGUGAGUGAAUCGCUUCUUAAACAAUAAUGCCAUCAUCAACUAUAUGUCUACCCGUGAGAAAGCUAUACUGGAAGGGGAAAAUGAGUUUUUAAAGGAAGGGAUGAAGGUGAUUGACCGUUAUUUUAGUAAUGAUCUUAUAGGUGAUUAAUUCGAGAUACAAGAAUAGCGGAGAAGACCGUUUAGUAUAAAGCCAUGAAAUAACUUAAAUCCAUGUAUUACAAAACACAUAUAAUAACUUAGUUAAGGUUUUAUUUUUAUAAAUAUAAAAAAUUAAAUUUAUGUGUAAAUAUAUUAUUUUUAGACCAAUUUUUCCAACAAGUUAAAUGAAUCAUUUCCAAUUGAAACCGAGAAUGAAACACCCCAAUAAGAAAAUGCAACUAUGAUAAUCUUAUGGAUAUAUGUUAUUUUAUAGUUUCUUGUAAAUUAAAAUUUCAUUUGCCCCUAAAAAAUUAUUCUGGCUUCACCCCUGAGACAAACAUGAAUUGGCACAUCAGUAAAGUUAACAAACAUUAACAUUUUCAUCUAUUUUAAAGUGAUUUGACAAACAAUAAAAAUUUAAAGAUGAAAAAAUGAAAAAAAAUGACUAAAAUGGAAUUUUUAUAAAAUUGAAAGAUGAAACAAAUUAUUAUACCAUUUAUUUUGUAAAACAGUGAUGACAACCCCUCUCAAUUGCCAUCCUUGGUGUUAGCAACCCCAAAAUGGUAGGUAAUGUUGAUAUAAAUAUACAAUUAUUAAUUGUUCCAAGUGCAGAAAACCACAAUAAUAACUUUAUGAGAAACAAAAUUAAGAAAAUAAAUGAAAAUGUUUGAGCAAAAAUAUCUCAAUUUUUACAAAAAACUAAACAUGUUUAAAAUAUGAGUGAAGCUCAGACUUAAACAUUCAAGUCUCAAACUUAGUUCAAUUCGACUCAUUUUUAAGUUUAUAAUACUUUAUAUUAUAUUAUGUAAAUUAUAAUACAUAAAAAAUAUAUUAAAUAUAUAAUACUACUCUAAUGUAAACAUUAAAAUAAUGUUAAGAUGUCUAUGUAAAAAAAAUUAAUAAAUAAAAUUAUAUAAAAUUAUAAAUAUUAAAUUAAUAUAAUAUAAAUAUUUUUAAAAAAAUUAAAAAUUAAUAUGGACGGACUUAAAAUGAGUUUUAGUUAGUAUUUUGUAAAUACAGACAAGCUUGAAUAAAAUUUUAAGUCCAUAUUUUUUUAUUUUCAACUUUACUCAAAAGUUUAGAUAAAUUAUUAAAUUACCCCACUUGUAAUUUUUGUAAAAAAGUUUCUGAUUCGAAGCGAGCCCACACUCGGCAGACGUGAGCUUGAGGGCAGCGAAGAAGACUACUCGAUCAAAGCAUUCAUCCUAAAUGAAUUGAAAAUGUAUAAUUUUGAUUAAUUGUUUAAUACUUUAGAUAUCACAACCAAGAUCUUAUUUUGAAAAAAAAUUAAAACUCUGGUUUUUCCCUAAUUUUAUUUCUCCUAUGUUUUCUAAACUCGUUUUUUCCAACAACGUACUCAUGAGUCUUCAAAAAAAAAUAGUACGUCUUCAACGGGUUAAUCAAACAUGAUUUCGUUUGAGUUUAAGAGGUUUGCCAAAAUGAAGUAAUAUUGUUUUCAUAUACAGUGUAACCUCCACAAUCUAACCUUAACGUUUAGGCUAGGUUUGGGGCAUUACAAAUCACUUAGUCCUCAAUCUUUUUUGGGUUCAAUCCUUAGAGUACUCGAGUGUUCCAUUAUAACACUAAAAAUAUUACAACUCGACUUGUCACACUUGCAGUACACUGCUAGAUUAUUGAUUGGUUUGCGUUGAUUAUUAUCCCCAAUGUGCACUGUCAAGUUGUUGGCGCUGUUGUCAGGGAGUUUAUGUGUGAUUGAGUGAUUUGCUUGAUUAAUGCUUGUUUACUAGGGAGAUAACUAGCAAAACUUAAUUCUAUAGAUAUGACACUUGUUUUUCUUUCAAUUGCUCAUUUAUUUUCUUAGUUAAGUAUUCUUGAAAUUGAAAACUUAUAGAAUAAUCUUGACAUCACCCUUUCACAAUGGAGAGCUAUUUUUGGACUAAUCUUUCUUCUCAUUUAUUCUGGCUUCACGGUGUUAUUGAAUCUCAUACCUACUCUCUGCCGAUCUUGAAAUGUACACAUCCAUCGUCACCUUCUACAACUGCUUCAUCGAAAAGAAUGUACACCAAAAUCAUUAUGUUAUUCAUCUUCAAAACAAUUUUUGUUUUUUCUUCUACUAAACACAAAUAUUUCACAAAUAUUUAAGUUGAACAGUUACAACAAUGUUAAAAAAAUAGUAUAUUUAAGGAUUGGUGCUACCAAAAAGCUUGGUGGCAACAAAAAAAUUUUAAUGGAAAAGAAAAUAGCCUUGUGCCGCCAACGAGGAAAAUGACACAAAAAAUUAAACUUUCUAACAAAAAAUGUAAUGGCCCAAAUUCAAGGUUAUCGGAAUAGUGGUUUCGUAACCACAAAUCCGAUUUAAAGAGAAAUUUAUUUUAAUAUUUUUCCAUGAAUAUUGGAAUGAUAGGAAAAUAGUAUAAAAAUAUCGAUAGAAAAAUUUUAUCGAUUUAGUGAUUAGUUAGAAAAAGAAAUUAGUGAAGAAAUUGGGUAAAAAUAAGGUAUAGAGACCUCAAUCUCGUAAAACCGAGUCAAAAAUAUUUUUAUAAAUAUUUAUGAACUGUUAAUAAUAUGGUAUUAAAAUUUCGUUCGAAAAUUUUGAUGUUUGGGUAGUCAAUUAAGUGAAAAGGACUAAUUUGAAAAAGGUAUAAAAGUUACUAAAAGGAUUAAAUAGCUCAAUUGUUAAAUGAGGAGGGACAUAAAUUGAAAAUAACCCCAAAAGGAUUCAGGAGAAUUGAAGAAUUAAGGGUAAAAUUGGAAUAUUGCAAAAUUUGCUUUAAAAGAUAGGACUAAAAUGGAAUUAUCUAGAUUUCUCUUCAUUUUUCUGCAUUCCCAUCAGCCAAAAACGUCCUAAGGGUUUCUCCAAGCUGGUUUUUCAUAAUUUUUGCACCAAGUGAGUUAAUCCUUGCCCUUUUCUUGUAAUUUUUGUGUUUCUAAGACUUUUACAACUAGGUCCUAUUACUAAAUUCAUUAGUUUUCGAUUUUGUGGAUGAAGUUGAAAGUUGCUAUGAAUAUGUGCUGGAAUUUUAUGAUGAUAUAGGAUGAAAUUGAAGCUUUAAUCUAUUUAUGAGAUGAUUUUAUUAGGUACUUUCAAUAGAAAUUGAUUUGUAGGACCUAAUUGUGAAAAAGUUUGGAAUUAAAGUCUAGUACUGAAAUUCUGAUUUCCAAAGCUUAUGAAGUAGUUUAAAGUGAUGGGAUAAAGUGUUAAUUGAGAAAAAUCAGCUCAAUUGAUAGGUUAAUUGAGCAGGGAUGAAAUUAGCAUUUAUUGAAAGUUUAGGGAAAAAUGGUAAUUAACAUUAUACACUAAAACAGAUUUGGACAGCAGCAGUAGGUUAACUUUGAAAAAUCACCAAAAAUUGUAGAAAUCGAAUUAGAGGAUGAAUAAAAUAUGAAAUUAAAUCUUAUUGAGUCUAAUUUCUCAUAGAAGAAACGGUUUAAUCAAUGGAAUUGUAAAUCAUGAGAUAUAAUGGAUUUUGUGAGACAAAGUCAGAAGGAAUUCUGGUUCCCCUGUUCUGACUUUGGAAAAUCAUUAAAAAUUGUAGAAAAAUGAUUAUGAGUUGUAAUUUAUAUGUUUAGAAUCCUUAAUGAGUUUAUUUUCAUAAGCAAUAAACGGAAACAUCAUCCAAAUUCUGUAGAAUGAGAUAAUUAAUUUUUAGUGAAGAGGGGUCGGAACUGUCAAACAAUGAAACAGGGGAAUUUUAAAGAAUAAACUGUACUUGUUGGCCAAACCAAAAAUUCUGAAAAUUUUAUGGUAAUAAGAUAUGUGAGUCUAGUUUCAGGUAAAAUUAACGGAUCUUAAUUUUGAGUUCCGUAGCUCAAGAUAUAAAUAUUUUAGUGACUGUGACUCAGUGAGACAGCUUUGAAUGCAUUAUAAAUUAUAAUGGAAUUAUAGAGAAUGUUACAUAUGAACAUGAAAUGUAUUAUAUUAAUGAUUAAAUUUAUUUAUUUAGAUCCAGAAAGUUCAAAUACGAAGCU